ACGAACGCUGGCGGCGUGCCUAAUACAUGCAAGUAGAACGCUGAAGAGAGGAGCUUCCUCUUCUUGGAUGAGUUGCGAACGGGUGAGUAACGCGUAGGUAACCUGCCUUGUAGCGGGGGAUAACUAUUGGAAACGAUAGCUAAUACCGCAUAACAAUGGAUGACACAUGUCAUUUAUUUGAAAGGGGCAAUUGCUCCACUACAAGAUGGACCUGCGUUGUAUUAGCUAGUAGGUGAGGUAAUGGCUCACCUAGGCGACGAUACAUAGCCGACCUGAGAGGGUGAUCGGCCACACUGGGACUGAGACACGGCCCAGACUCCUACGGGAGGCAGCAGUAGGGAAUCUUCGGCAAUGGGGGCAACCCUGACCGAGCAACGCCGCGUGAGUGAAGAAGGUUUUCGGAUCGUAAAGCUCUGUUGUAAGUCAAGAACGGGUGUGAGAGUGGAAAGUUCACACUGUGACGGUAGCUUACCAGAAAGGGACGGCUAACUACGUG
rnacentral:rRNA from 1 species